UACGGAGGGGGCUAGCGUUGUUCGGAAUUACUGGGCGUAAAGCGCACGUAGGCGGCUUUGUAAGUUAGAGGUGAAAGCCCGGGGCUCAACUCCGGAAUUGCCUUUAAGACUGCAUCGCUAGAAUUGUGGAGAGGUAAGUGGAAUUCCGAGUGUAGAGGUGAAAUUCGUAGAUAUUCGGAAGAACACCAGUGGCGAAGGCGGCUCACUGGACCGGUUCUGACGCUGAGGCGCGAAAGCGUGGGGAGCAAACGGG
rnacentral:rRNA from 1 species